rnacentral:lncRNA from 1 species
ACAGUGAAGAAGGUGCCAGCUUCCCCUUCUGCCAUGAUUGUAAGCUUCCUGAGGCUUCCCCAGUCAGGUGGAACUAUCCCAGAAUGGUAGAUGCACUGAGAGUUUGCACCAUGCACCUGGAAAAGCCACAGACGCUCAAUGCCAGCCAUGAAAGCAGCCGUGAAAGCAGCUGUGGAGUCUGUACCCGGCAAAGGCAUAGGGGCAGAGCUGUCCAGGGCCAUGGGAGCCCACCUCUUGCAUCGGCAUGAACUGGAUACACUCUCUCUGUCUCUCCUGCCACCUUAUG